CCUACGGGAGGCUGCAGUGGGGAAUAUUGGGCAAUGGUCGCAAGCUUGACCCAGCAACGCCGCGUGAAGGAAGAAGGCAUUCGGUUUGUAAACUUCUUUUGACAGGGAAGAGUAGAAGACGGUACCUGUCGAAUAAGCCACGGCUAACUACGUGCCAGCGGCCGCGGUAAUACGUAGGGCGGAAGCGUUGUCCGGAUUUACGGGGUUGAAAGGGCGUGUAGCCGGGUUGACAAGUCAGGUGUGAAAUCCUGCGGCUUAACCCCAGAACUGCAUUUGAAACUGUUGAUCUUGAGUACUGGAGAGGCAGACGGAAUUCGGAGUGUAGCGGUGAAAUGCGUAGAUAUGAGGAGGAACACCAGUGGCGAAGGCGGUCUGCUGGA
rnacentral:rRNA from 1 species